rnacentral:rRNA from 1 species
CGCGUAGGUGGUAGUGCAAGUCUGAGGUGGAAUCUUAGGGCUUAACCCUAAAUUGCCUUGGAAACUGCAUUACUUGAGUCAGUGAGGGGAGGGUAGAAUUCCUGGUGUAGCGGUGAAAUGCGUAGAUAUCAGGAGGAAGGCCGGUGGCGAAGGCGGCCCUCUGGCGCUGAACUGACACUGAGGCGCGAAAGCGUGGGGAGCAAACAGGAUUAGAUACCCUGGUAGUCCACGCCCUAAACGGUGGGUACUAGGUGUAGGGCUCGUAAGGGUUCUGUGCCGAAGCGAAAGCAUUAAGUACCCCGCCUGGGGAGUACGGCCGCAAGGUUGAA